UACCAGCACCCCGAGUGGUCGGGGCGUUUAUUGGGCCUAAAGCAUCCGUAGCCGGUUCUACAAGUCUUCCGUUAAAUCCACCUGCUUAACAGAUGGGCUGCGGAAGAUACUAUAGAGCUAGGAGGCGGGAGAGGCAAGCGGUACUCGAUGGGUAGGGGUAAAAUCCGUUGAUCCAUUGAAGACCACCAGUGGCGAAGGCGGCUUGCCAGAACGCGCUCGACGGUGAGGGAUGAAAGCUGGGGGAGCAAACCGG
rnacentral:rRNA from 1 species